UGUGGGAGCGGGCUUGCUCGCGAAGGCGCUGUGUCAGUUGACAUCGAUGCUACUGACCCGACGCCAUCGCGAGCAAGCUCGCUCCCACA
rnacentral:misc_RNA from 1 species